CUACUCGGGUUUCUAAUCCUGUUUGCUCCCCAUGCUUUCGAGCCUCAGCGUCAGUUACAGACCAGAAAGUCGCCUUCGCCACUGGUGUUCCUCCAUAUAUCUACGCAUUUCACCGCUACACAUGGAAUUCCACUUUCCUCUUCUGCACUCAAGUUCUCCAGUUUCCAAUGACCCUCCCUGGUUGAGCCAGGGGCUUUCACAUCAGACUUAAAGAACCGCCUGCGCUCGCUUUACGCCCAAUAAAUCCGGACAACGCUUGCCAUCUACGUAUUACCGCGGCGGCUGGCAC
rnacentral:rRNA from 1 species